GAGAUUCUAGUAAAAACAUCACAUUACCUUGUCAGGGUAAAAUUAUGGGUUUAACUCCCAUGAAUCUUA
rnacentral:tRNA from 1 species